CUUGUGUCGCUUGAGCUCGUCCUGUCCUUCCCUCAACGUGGAGGGGGAAGAAGAGUCCACAAAUCCUCCCUGCUACUUCCCCUGGUCCGAGGAGUUCCUACUGGACGCUCGCAAAGGCCCCGCGGACGCCAGCAGACGGAGGUCGUGGUCAGGCCUCAGCGACACUGAGAAGAAGAGGGCGCGCCAGAGGAGCGUGAGCCUCAGCAGCUUCGACUCUGAUGGAGAGGAACCUUUCUACGACGCCGAGGACGCCCCCAACGACAGAG
rnacentral:lncRNA from 1 species